rnacentral:rRNA from 1 species
CAGUCGCCGCGGUAAUACAGAGGGUGCGAGCGUUAAUCGGAUUUACUGGGCGUAAAGCGUGCGUAGGCGGCUUCUUAAGUCGGAUGUGAAAUCCCUGAGCUUAACUUAGGAAUUGCAUUCGAUACUGGGAAGCUAGAGUAUUGGAGAGGAUGGUAGAAUUCCAGGUGUAGCGGUGAAAUGCGUAGAGAUCUGGAGGAAUACCGAUGGCGAAGGCAGCCAUCUGGCCUAAUACUGACGCUGAGGUACGAAAGCAUGGGGAGCAAACAGGAUUAGAUACCCGGGUAGUCCCUGUCUCUUAUAC